rnacentral:rRNA from 1 species
GAUGAACGCUGGCGGCGUGCCUAAUACAUGCAAGUCGAGCGCACUUUUGGGAGCUUUCUCCCAACUGUUAGCGGCGCACGGGUGAGUAUCACGUGUGUAACCUGCCUGUAAGACUGGGAUAACUCCUGGAAACCGGAGCUAAUAUCGCAUAUCAUUGAAUUCCACAUGGCCUUCAAUUUAAAGGUAGCCUUUAGCUUCCACUUACAGAUGUCCCCGCGUCGCAUUAGCUAGUUGGUGAGGUAACGGCUCACCAAGGCGACGAUGCUUAGCCGACCUGAGAGGGUGAUCGGCCAAACUGGGACUGAGACACGGCCCAGACUCCUACGGGAGGCAGCAGUAGGGAAUCUUCCGCAAUGGACGAAAGUCUGACCGAGCAACGCCGCGUGAGCGAAGAAGGUCGUCGGGUCGGAAAGCUCUGUUGUUAGGGAAGAACGAGUAUGGUUCGAAUAGGGCGAUAACGUGACGGUACCUAACCAGAAAGCCACGGCUAACUACGUG